UACGGGGGGGGCAAGCGUUGUUCGGAAUUACUGGGCGGAAAGGGCUCGUAGGCGGCCCUCUCAGUCGGAUGUGAAAUCCCCAGGCUUAACCUGGGAACGGCAUCCGAUACUGGAGGGCUUGAAUUCGGGAGAGGGAUGCAGAAUUCCAGGUGUAGCGGUGAAAUGCGUAGAUAUCUGGAGGAAUACCGGUGGCGAAGGCGGCAUCCUGGACCGAGAUUGACGCUGAGGAGCGAAAGCGUGGGGAGCGAACAGG
rnacentral:rRNA from 1 species